GCGCAGUCGAGUCGCAAGCGCAUAAGUUGGCGCCGGAAGACGGGAGCUGGCUCCCUGAUGUUUCGGCGGACGGGUGAGUAACACGUGGGUAACCUGCCUGUAAGACUGGGAUAACUCCGGGAAACCGGGGCUAAUACCGGAUGGUUGUCUGAACCGCAUGGUUCAGACAUAAAAGGUGGCUUCGGCUACCACUUACAGAUGGACCCGCGGCGCAUUAGCUAGUUGGUGAGGUAACGGCUCACCAAGGCGACGAUGCGUAGCCGACCUGAGAGGGUGAUCGGCCACACUGGGACUGAGACACGGCCCAGACUCCUACGGGAGGCAGCAGUAGGGAAUCUUCCGCAAUGGACGAAAGUCUGACGGAGCAACGCCGCGUGAGUGAUGAAGGUUUUCGGAUCGUAAAGCUCUGUUGUUAGGGAAGAACAAGUGCCGUUCAAAUAGGGCGGCACCUUGACGGUACCUAACCAGAAAGCCACGGCUAACUACGUGCCAGCAGCCGCGGUAAUACGUAGGUGGCAAGCGUUGUCCGGAAUUAUUGGGCGUAAAGGGCUCGCAGGCGGUUUCUUAAGUCUGAUGUGAAAGCCCCCGGCUCAACCGGGG
rnacentral:rRNA from 1 species